CCGAUGGAAGUUUGAGGCAAUAACAGGUCUGUGAUGCCCUUAGAUGUCCUGGGCCGCACGCGCGUUACACUGACAGAGCCAGCGAGUAUUUCCUUGACCGGAAGGUCCGGGUAAUCUUGUUAAACUCUGUCGUGCUGGGGAUAGAGCAUUGCAAUUAUUGCUCUUCAACGAGGAAUCCCUAGUAAGCGCAAGUCAUCAGCUUGCGUUGAUUACGUCCCUGCCCUUUGUACACACCGCCCGUCGCUACUACCGAUUGAAUGGCUCAGUGAGACCUCCGGACUGGCCCAGAGAGGUGGGCAACUACCACUCAGGGCCGGAAAGUUGUUCAAACUCGGUCAUUUAGAGGAAGUAAAAGUCGUAACAAGGUCUCCGUUGGUGAACCAGCGGAGGGAUCAUUACCGAGUUAUUACUCCAAACCCUUUGUGAACCUUACCUAUGUUCUGUUGCCUCGGCGGGGAGGAAGACCCCUUAAAAAGGGCCCAGCC
rnacentral:rRNA from 1 species